rnacentral:snRNA from 1 species
AUAUUUACCUGGCAGGGUUGAUACCAUGAUCAUGGAAGUGGUUCUCCCAGGGUGAGGCUCAUCCAUUAUACUUUGGAUGUGCUGAUCCCUGUGAUUUCCCCAAAUGUGGGAAAGUCAGUUGCAUAAUUUGUGGUAGUGGGGGACUGUGUUUGCACUUUCCCCUG